rnacentral:rRNA from 1 species
UUAUUUGAAAUAGGAUACAACCUCCAACACUGGGUAAAUUUAAGUGAUUAAAACAAAGUGGGCCUAAAAGCAGCCACCUUUAGAAAAGCGUCAUAGCUUAACCUCUCUCACACCCCAAUUUAUUUAACCCCUUUUAACCCUUCACCAAUACUGAACUAUUUUAUAUUUUUAUAAAAAUAAUUAUGCUAGAACUAGUAACAAGAAAUUUGCCUUUCUCCUAAUUGCAAGUAUAAAUCAAAACGACACCCCAAUGAUACUUAACGCAAAUACAUAUUUUAUAGCAACAAAUAUCUAGAAAAUCCUAUAACCUCAAACGUUAACCUUACACCAGAGCACUUCAGGAAAGAUUAAAAGAGAAAGAAGGAACUCGGCAAACUUCAGCCCCGCCUGUUUACCAAAAACAUCGCCUCUUGUUUUCCAUAAGAGGUCCAGCCUGCCCAGUGACAUAAAGUUUAACGGCCGCGGUAACCUAACCGUGCAAAGGUAGCAUAAUCACUUGUUCUCUAAAUAGGGACUCGUAUCAACGGCACCACGAGGGCUGUUCUGUCUCCUUUCUCCAAUCAGUGAAACUGAUCUCCCCGUGAAGAAGCGGGGAUUUUUUU